rnacentral:sRNA from 1 species
UCCACUUCGUCGCUUCGCCCCACCCUGACUCCGCUCCAGAUCUCCCCGUCGCGCUCCGCUCCGCCUCCUCCGCGUCGCCGUCGUCUUCCUCCUCUCCAGCCGAUGCCUCCUCCCAAACCCUAGCCACCUCGCAAAACCCUAGAUCCCCUCCCCCCCGCCCCACCACGCCGCCAUGGAUCCCUCCGGAUCCGGCCCUCGCCAUGACCGCCUCCUCAUCUCCCCGUCGCUCUCCUCCCCGUCUGUAGAGAUGGUCGCGAUUCCUCCGAUCGCACGAGGGUAGGGGGAAGAGGCGAGCGCUGCCAGGGGAAAGGGGACGGUGAAGAGGACUGCUCAGCGGACUCCAUUUGUUAAUCCGAUCUCUAAUUUGAAAGAACUGUAUCUUUUCCGAUUACCGGUUUUCUGUUCCAGGUGCAAUUCUAAUUUGUUUUAUCUGAAUUAUCACAUGGAAUCGAUUCCUUAAUGAACUUUCCAACUGAAACUAACUGCUGCUCUGAGCAAUCAAUAAUUUAGUUACUACUACC